rnacentral:misc_RNA from 1 species
UUGUGGAGGAGGACGCCGAAGGUGGGGCUAAUGACUGGGGUGAAGUCGUAACAAGGUAGCCGUACCGGAAGGUGCGGCUGGAUCACCUCCUAACAGGGAGACAACAAAACGUUUAAUAUUAUUUUGUCACCUUAGGUCGAUCGGUAUCUCACUUUCUUAAUUUAUUAAGAAUUUCAUUUCCUAAGUUUUUCUAGGUCACACCCAUUAUUUUUCCUGGGCCAUUAGCUCAGGUGGUUAGAGCGCACCCCUGAUAAGGGUGAGGUCCCUGGUUCAAGUCCAGGAUGGCCCAUAUCUCUAUGUUGGGGGUAUAGCUCAGUUGGUAGAGCGCCUGCUUUGCAAGCAGGAUGUCAGCGGUUCGAGUCCGCUUACCUCCACUGAUUACCACCUCUUCCAUAAAUCUGAAGAAAGGAAAAAUUUUGAGUUGUGAUAAAAAUUCUGAACGAAUCUAGCUUCCUAAUGAAAUCAUUAAGAUGCUGGACUCAUUGAAUUAAUUUCAUUGCUUUCAGAGAACCUUGACAACUGCAUAGAUUAUUUUUAAAGACAAUAAGCAUCUUUAAUGAUGCAGAUUUAUUAUUUGUGCAAAUGCAUUAAUAACAAUUCUAUUAAGCUGAUGCUUCAAAUUUGAAGUUAUUGGUCAAGCUACAA